rnacentral:lncRNA from 1 species
UAUUCUUCAUCUUCUCAUUUCUUACUCCUCAACUUUUCUAUCAUUUAUAUUUAAUUUCUCUAUAUUCUUUCAAAUAUCAAACCGUAUAGAUUUUUUUUAAAUUUUUUAAUUAAAUCAUCUUCUUUCAAUCUAAGUUUAUUUUUUAACUUUUAUUUAAUCAUUGAAGAUCUUAUUUAUAAAUCUCAUAAAUUUUCGAGUGGUCACACUUCCUCUUUCUUCUACCCUCAAUAAACUGCUUGAGCUUCCGAUUCUCAAAUCUCUCUACCUGGUGCGCCUCUUUCAUUCUUCAGUAUGUAUAAGUGAUAUGAGAGAGAGGAGAGGAAGAAGAAAAACAUUUUUGGGUCUGAUAUAUGUAAUAUGUAAGACAGAAAGGAGAGGAAGAGAAAAAAAAAUUGCUGACAUACAGAGAGAGGAAGAUGGAGAGAGAGAGAGAGGGGGAGAUGAAAAGGGAGAAUAAGAG